rnacentral:lncRNA from 1 species
GGUCUCCAAUUUUUGAAACCGAGCUUUCUUCUCUCUCUCUUGCGUCCGAAACCGGAGGAAAAACAGAGCAAGCUUUCCCGGUCGAGUUCUCCACCCUCCGGCCACCGUUUGACGCCAAAUCACCUCCCUUGCCUUCGCCUCGACGCCGCCUGCCUUCCGGGCGUGAUUGUUUCCGCCGGCACAGCCUCAAAACCCGGUGAAACGGAGUUGCAGACCUUGAAGCAAAAACGGUCAACCCCGUUUUCCUCCUAGCUCCGGCCACCAAAACUUCCGAUCCUUAGCUCCAUGAACUCGCCUCAACUUGCUGAUCAUCAUACUAGAAGGAUCGCACCUGGAGUGACCGGUUUCACGUUCGUCGGAGCUCGUGGGUUCGACUUGAUGUUCUUAACAACUAUCUAGAAGGAAUUAAGGCCUGAAAUUGAAGUUUUUACGUCGAAAAUUGAGCUCGCCGGUUUCUGGAAAUUCUCGCCGGUUUCUGGAAAGUUUCCGGCCACAUUCAUACUGUUCAAGGUGAUUGACGGUCUUCCUUGGGUGAGCGGUUUCGGUGUGUAUUGUGUUGAAGUGAAGACGCAGCGGGACUAGAGCGGGUAAUCCUGUAGGUCAGGAGAAUCAGGGCGGUGAUCGUGCGGGUUAGAGCAUUUGUUAUAAUUUUACAGCAAUUGUAAUAGUGAGGUGAGUUAAGCUCAUUUGAGCCUUGCAAUUUGAUUUGGUGAGAGUGUGCUGUAAUAAAUAACUUGAGAAUGUGGUUUAUUGUAUUAUUGAGAGGUGUGAAGUGUGGUUGUUUUUGAGAAAAAAAUUCAGGACGUUGGUUUGUAAUAGUUAUUAUUCAUGUUUCGGAUUUGAAUUGUUUAUUCAAAAUUCGGGGCGU